rnacentral:rRNA from 1 species
UGGGGAAUAUUGGACAAUGGGCGAAAGCCUGAUCCAGCCAUGCCGCGUGUGUGAAGAAGGUCUUCGGAUUGUAAAGCACUUUAAGUUGGGAGGAAGGGCAGUAAGUUAAUACCUUGCUGUUUUGACGUUACCAACAGAAUAAGCACCGGCUAACUUCGUGCCAGCAGCCGCGGUAAUACGAAGGGUGCAAGCGUUAAUCGGAAUUACUGGGCGUAAAGCGCGCGUAGGUGGUUCAGCAAGUUGAAGGUGAAAUCCCCGGGCUCAACCUGGGAACUGCCUCCAAAACUACUGAGCUAGAGUACGGUAGAGGGUAGUGGAAUUUCCUGUGUAGCGGUGAAAUGCGUAGAUAUAGGAAGGAACACCAGUGGCGAAGGCGACUACCUGGACUGAUACUGACACUGAGGUGCGAAAGCGUGGGGAGCAAACA